AGAGUUUGAUCCUGGCUCAGAGUGAACGCUGGCGGCAUGGCUCAGACAUGCAAGUCGAACGCCUCGCAAGAGGAGUGGCAAACGGGUGCGUAACACGUGAGCAACCUACCCUAAAGUGGGGGAUAGCCCAGGGAAACUUGGAUUAAUACCGCAUGUGGUCCUGCUUCGCAUGAAGUGGGCACUAAAGCUUGCAAUGGCGCUUUAGGAGGGGCUCGCGCCCUAUCAGCUUGUUGGUGAGGUAAUGGCUCACCAAGGCUAAGACGGGUAGCUGGUCUGAGAGGAUGAUCAGCCACACUGGGACUGAGACACGGCCCAGACACCUACGGGUGGCAGCAGUUUCGAAUCAUUGGCUAAUGCGCGAAAGCGUGACCAUGCAAUGCCGCGUGGGGGAUGAAGGUUCUCGGAUCGUAAACCCCUGUCAUCAAGGAACAAAAACCGGUGAAGAGCCGGCUUGAGCUUACUUGAAGAGGAAGAGGUGGCUAACUCCGAGCCAGCAGCCGCGGUAAUACGGAGACCUCGAGCGUUACUCGGAUUCACUGGGCGUAAAGGGAGCGCAGGCGGCUGUGUGUGUCAGGUGUGAAAGCCCAGGGCUCAACUCUGGAACUGCGCCUGAAACUGCACAGCUAGAGACUCGGAGGGGUAUGCGGAAUUCCAGGUGUAGCGGUGAAAUGCGUA
rnacentral:rRNA from 1 species